rnacentral:rRNA from 1 species
GAUACCAGCUGGCUGCAACUGUUUAUUAAAAACACAGCACUGUGCAAACACGAAAGUGGACGUAUACGGUGUGACGCCUGCCCGGUGCUGGAAGGUUAAUUGAUGGGGUUAUCCGUAAGGAGAAGCUCUUGAUCGAAGCCCCAGUAAACGGCGGCCGUAACUAUAACGGUCCUAAGGUAGCGAAAUUCCUUGUCGGGUAAGUUCCGACCUGCACGAAUGGCGUAAUGAUGGCCAGGCUGUCUCCACCCGAGACUCAGUGAAAUUGAACUCGCUGUGAAGAUGCAGUGUACCCGCGGCAAGACGGAAAGACCCCGUGAACCUUUACUAUAGCUUGACACUGAACAUUGAGCCUUGAUG